rnacentral:rRNA from 1 species
AACGAACGCUGGCGGCAUGCCUAACACAUGCAAGUCGAACGAGACCUUCGGGUCUAGUGGCGCACGGGUGCGUAACGCGUGGGAAUCUGCCCUUGGGUUCGGAAUAACAGUUGGAAACGACUGCUAAUACCGGAUGAUGACGUAAGUCCAAAGAUUUAUCGCCCAAGGAUGAGCCCGCGUAGGAUUAGCUAGUUGGUGAGGUAAAGGCUCUCCAAGGCGACGAUCCUUAGCUGGUCUGAGAGGAUGAUCAGCCACACUGGGACUGAGACACGGCCCAGACUCCUACGGGAGGCAGCAGUGGGGAAUAUUGGACAAUGGGCGAAAGCCUGAUCCAGCAAUGCCGCGUGAGUGAUGAAGGCCUUAGGGUUGUAAAGCUCUUUUACCCGGGAUGAUAAUGACAGUACCGGGAGAAUAAGCUCCGGCUAACUCCGUG